rnacentral:hammerhead_ribozyme from 1 species
AUCCAGAUGACGAGUACCAAAUAGGACGAGACGCGUGUCCUGGAU